rnacentral:misc_RNA from 1 species
UCAAACUUGGUCAUUUAGAGGAAGUAAAAGUCGUAACAAGGUUUCCGUAGGUGAACCUGCGGAAGGAUCAUUACCGUAGGGGGCUAACCCCCCCUUCGAGAUAGCACCCUUGACUUUUCAAGCACCUUUCCGUUUCCUCGGCGGGCUCGCCCGCCAGUGGACAACAACCAAAACCCUUCUUGUAUUAGCAGUACUCUGAUAAGACAAAUAAAAAAGUUAAAACUUUCAACAACGGAUCUCUUGGUUCUGGCAUCGAUGAAGAACGCAGC